rnacentral:lncRNA from 10 species
AGUCACAACCAAGCCUCCGGACUGCUUUAUACUUGGGAUUAUACGGUAUGUGCUUCUGGCUCUUGCUUCUACGGUUUAACAUAAUGUUUGUGAAAUUCAUCCUGGCUGGGUGCUGUGGCUCACACCUAUGAUCCCAGCCCUUUGGGAGGCCGAGGCGGGCAGAUCACCUGAGGUCAGAAGUUGGAGACCAGCCUGGCCAAUAUGGUGAAACCCCAUCUCUGCCAAAAGUACAAAAAUUAGCCGUAUGUGGUGGCACAUGCCUGUAAUCUUAGCUACUUGAGAGGAUGAGGCAGGAGAAUCGCUUGAACCUGGGAGGCGGAGGCUGCAGUGAGCCGAGAUUGCACCACUGCACUCCAGCCUGGGCAACAGAGCAAGACUCCUAUCAAAAAAAAAAAAAAAAAAAAAAAAGAUGACUUUGACUUUGAGCAGAACUGGAUUUGACAAGAAUCACACUCUGCUUUUACCACAGAGCAACAGGUAGUUGAUUUGAGACAACGGCUGGAAUGGGAACUGUUGAUGAUACCCAGCCAUGGGCCAUCUUCUCCCACACUUGCCCGGCUGCCUUGGCUUCCUGGGCACUCUGUGAGCACCUAGGCCGCUGCACCGCUCCUUCCCUGCAUUACCUCCUCAGAGUCACAGGACAGGCCUGAGAGGCAGGGAUUAUUCACAUCUCCAUUUAUAGAUGGCCAAACUGAGCCACCGAGAGUCGCCGGCUGGACAAGGUUGAGUUGGGAUUAAACUCAGUCAACCCCAAAGCUGAGCUCUGCCCCAUCUGGUCGGCUUAACGUCCUCAGAAUAUGCCUGUAUGUGUGCAGGUAGGAGGGGAGGCAUGGUCACUUGUGGGGAAGGUCCUGGCGGAGGCUGGGAGGAAAGUGCGCUUUAUAGGAGAGGACUGACUUUGGGAACAGGGUGAUGUGGCCCUGCAUCUGGGGCUAGAGGACCCCUUUGGGUGCCCCCCACACAGGAGGCAUUCAGUCUCUAUCUGUGAGGGGAUGGCCCCAGUGUCUCCCCAAGUAAGGAUCUUGUACUGCAAGCCGACCUGGGGAUGGCUUUCAGUGGCACGAGAACAGACACUAUUUCACCUUAACAGAGUUGCAUCAAUUUACAUUGCAAUAGAAAAUAUAAGUAGCCCGCUAGGCGCGGUGGCUCACGCCUGUAAUCCCAG